UACGAGUGGUGCAAGCGUUAUUCGGAAUCAUUGGGCGUAAAGGGUGUGUAGACGGCAUAUUAAGUCAACUGUUAAAUUCUCCGGCCUAACCGGAGGUCAGCUGUAGAUACUGAUGUGCUUGAGGGUGGAAGAGAGAAGUGGAAUUCUCGGAGUAGCGGUAAAAUGCGUAGAUCUCGAGAGGAACACCAAUGGCGAAGGCAGCUUCUUGGUCCAUUUCUGACGUUGAAACACGAAAGCGUGGGGAGCAAACAGG
rnacentral:rRNA from 1 species